AACCGAAGUGGGGGUGCUUAACUGACUGAGCCACCCGGGCGCCCUUACAGUUAAGUUAUUGAGCCCUCACUGCGCGUGCCCCGGAGCUGGGCACUGGGGAAAUGAUGACUGAAAGAGGCGUGGCUUUGACCUCGGCAUUUAGAGUGCUAGGAGGGAAAAAGCUGACUAAUGAGUAGUGGGCAAUGACUAAACCUACCAUUUUACUGCACGCUAUAAAGGACAGAAAGGAAAAUGGGUUUAGGGAACAGGCUCCCUAGGAAACCACCGGGGGAAGGUUUCUUCAAAGAGGUGGUGUGAAAGCUGAGUCUGAAGGACAAGAAACCAGCCGCGCAGCGCAGCGUGGAGGAAGAACACUCCGGGGCCAUGGGAACAAUGAGUACAAAGCCCCAAGGUCCAGACUCUUCCUACCUGCCCCCGUCCCUCGCCUUCAGGCCCACCACCACCGGGACACCACUGAAAGCAGUGGUGGCCAGGGCUCUGGCCGGAAGAACCAGUCCACAGGUCCGAAGACCCGAGUUGCCACGUGGGUUCUGCCACAUGCUGUGUGCUCCUUGGCAAGUCAUUUUUCUUCUCUGCAGAACGGAGGUUCUCUGCCUCACCCCAUGCUCCCUCCUGCUGUCCUGCUCUGUUCCAAGUUUGAGUUCCUACCAGG